rnacentral:rRNA from 1 species
CCCUAUGGGGUGCAGUGAGUGCAGAUUUACCAGCAUGGACACAGAAAAAGCAUUGCCUGUAUCAAUCGCUGGCAGAAGUAUUUGUUGCGUGCCGUUUAGGUAUUGGGCCGGGGCGUCUAGACCAUCCACCACGGUAGUUGCAGUUAUUGACCUCCCAUUAAACCCGCCAGCAUUGUCUAUGUAGGUUGUGGUUUCAUCGUCUAGGGGAUAGCAAGCUGUGAUUAGGGAAAUAUACGGACUGGUCAUGCCUAUAUAUAGGCAUGACGCUUGCGACUGUUACUAUUCCCCAUGCAA